CCUACGGGUGGCAGCAGUCGAGAAUCAUUCACAAUGGGGGAAACCCUGAUGGUGCGACGCCGCGUGGGGGAAUGAAGGUCUUCGGAUUGUAAACCCCUGUCAUGUGGGAGCAAAUUAAAAAGAUAGUACCACAAGAGGAAGAGACGGCUAACUCUGUGCCAGCAGCCGCGGUAAUACAGAGGUCUCAAGCGUUGUUCGGAAUCACUGGGCGUAAAGCGUGCGUAGGCUGUUUCGUAAGUCGUGUGUGAAAGGCGCGGGCUCAACCCGCGGACGGCACAUGAUACUGCGAGACUAGAGUGAUGGAGGGGGAACCGGAAUGCUCGGUGUAGCAGUGAAAUGCGUAGAUAUCGGGAGGAACACUCGUGGCGAAGGCGGGUUCCUGGACAUUAACUGACGCUGAGGCACGAAGGCCAGGGGAGCGAAAGGGAUUAGAUACCCCAGUAGUC
rnacentral:rRNA from 1 species